rnacentral:rRNA from 1 species
UACGAAGGGGGCUAGCGUUGCUCGGAAUCACUGGGCGUAAAGGGUGCGUAGGCGGGUCUUUAAGUCAGGGGUGAAAUCCUGGAGCUCAACUCCAGAACUGCCUUUGAUACUGAGGAUCUUGAGUACGGGAGAGGUGAGUGGAACUGCGAGUGUAGAGGUGAAAUUCGUAGAUAUUCGCAAGAACACCAGUGGCGAAGGCGGCUCACUGGCCCGGUACUGACGCUGAGGUGCGAAAGCGUGGGGAGCGAACAGG